UGAUCCUGGCUCAGAAUGAACGCUGGCGGCGUGCUUAACACAUGCAAGUCGAACGCGAAAGGUUCUUUCGGGAGCCGAGUAGAGUGGCGCACGGGUGAGUAACGCGUGGGUAAUCUACCCCUGGAUCCUGGAUAACAUAUCGAAAGGUGUGCUAAUACGGGAUGAAGUCUUGCUGGAUGAGUCUGGUGAGAUGAAAGUUCGCGCAAGCGGAUGUCCGGGGAUGAGCCUGCGUACCAUUAGCUAGUUGGUGGGGUAAAGGCUUACCAAGGCAACGAUGGUUAGCUGGUCUGAGAGGAUGAUCAGCCACACUGGAACUGGAACACGGUCCAGACUCCUACGGGAGGCAGCAGUGAGGAAUUUUGCGCAAUGGGGGAAACCCUGACGCAGCAACGCCGCGUGAGUGAUGAAGGCUUCGGGUCGUAAAGCGUCUGUCGAGUGGGAAGAAAUGGUGCAGGUUAAUAUCCUGUAUUUUG
rnacentral:rRNA from 1 species